rnacentral:rRNA from 1 species
CGCGCGCGGCGGGCGGGGCGGGGGCACGGGGGGCCUACGGGAGGCAGCAGUGGGGAAUAUUGCACAAUGGGCGCAAGCCUGAUGCAGCCAUGCCGCGUGUAUGAAGAAGGCCUUCGGGUUGUAAAGUACUUUCAGCGGGGAGGAGGGUGUUGUGGUUAAUAACCGCAGCAAUUGACGUUACCCGCAGAAGAAGCACCGGCUAACUCCGUGCCAGCAGCCGCGGUAAUAAU